rnacentral:rRNA from 1 species
AAGGGAUAAACGCUGAAAGCAUCUAAGUGUGAAGCCCACCUCAAGAUGAGAUUUCCCAUUUCUUUAAGAAAGUAAGAUCCCUGAGAGAUGAUCAGGUAGAUAGGUCAGAAGUGGAAGGCCAGUGAUGGUUGGAGCGGACUGAUACUAAUCGAUCGAGGACUUAACCAAAAA